GGAGCUUUUAAAGAAGCAGUAUCGCCGGCUUGCAUUGCUCCUCCACCCAGACAAGAACAAGUUCCCCCUUGCAGAUCAAGCGUUUAAGCUCGUCGCGGACGCUUGGGCUGUCUUAUCGGAUUCCGGUAAAAAGUUGUUAUACGACAACGAAUUGAGCGUGUUUUCGAGGGUUGAUUUGUCGAAUUCGGGGAAAUUGCCGGUUAGAAAGAGCCAGCGGCCGGCAGCGAAGAAACACGCAGGCGAGAGUGUUAAAACUAACGCGAGUAAUAGCUCAGAGCAUCGGAGUCGGAAGAUGAAGCUAUCGUCGUUUUGGACUGCUUGUCCGUACUGUUAUAUUUUAUACGAGUAUCCUCGGGUUUAUCAGGAUUGCUGUUUGAGGUGCCAGAAUUGCGAGAGGGCGUUUCACGCGGCGUUGAUAUCGUCGUUGCCGCCGUUGGUGCCGGGGAAGGACGCGUACUACUGCUGCUGGGGGUUUUUUCCUUUGGGUUUUAUGUUUGGCAGUUCAGAGAGUGGAGGGAAAAACAAUGGGUCGAGGUCGGGAUCGGGAUCGGGAUCGGGGUCAGGAUUUCCAAAUUGGAUGCCGUCGAUUUUCUCCCCGGAGCAGCAAGUUGGUGAAAAAAAUGGUGUCACCUCCACGGCAGAUACGUCGCCGGUGUUUGCCACGGUGCAGCAAGUGAAUGAUAAAAAUGGUAAUGUGAGUGUAGGUGUAGCACCUGCGAGGACAGGGAUAGCAAGGGGUGGUGGAGGUGUGCAUGUUUCAGGAGGGAGUGCCACGGGGUUUCCACCAAAGAAGAGGGGAAGGCCAAGAAAAUAUCCCCUGCCAAAACGUUUAGGCUGAUGUGAACUGUGAUUUCAUGAUGACACAGAUGAGAAGGUGGACGAAGUUUUAUCAUUUAUGGCUGCGUUGAUAGAGAUAAAGAAGGCUCAAGGAGGAGGUUUUUAUAGCUGGUACAGUUUGGGAAGUCCAUAGGUAUUUUUGUUGACUUGUUUUAGUUUUAUUUAUUGCUUCCCUUGUCGCCCAUUUUCUUUAAUUCUUGUUGUUUGUAGAGUUUAGAUGCUUUUU
rnacentral:misc_RNA from 1 species